rnacentral:lncRNA from 1 species
UUGUCGUAGGUGCGGCACUCGUCGGUCUCGGGGUUGUCCUUGCAGUAGUUCUCCAGGGGGUCGGAGUCAGUCUUGAGCUUGUCCCUGGCGUGGCUCGCCGCGGCGCUGAGCUCCUCCACCUCGUCCCACGCCGCCGCGCACUCCCCGGCCACCGCGUCCCCCGCGCACGCCUCCUCCGCCUUCUUGAUGCUCUCCGAGACCUUCUCGGAGAUGUCGGGCGGCGUCGACGGCGCGCUCGCCACGAGCACCGUGCUGCGGCGGCGGCGAACACCGCGGUCGAGCAAAGGGAGGAGCCUUGCGUGGGUCUGUCGCGGCCUAAGCGGCUCCGCCUUCA